AUGACUUCUUUGCGAUGGCCAUGACAAGUGCUAGACAUUUUCGAGAUGGUGCGAUUGCCGGGGAACUUUUUAGAUUAUCCGAAAGAAGCAACUUUCGACAAUUUUGGCUGAAAAAUCGUCGUUUUCGUUUUAUGGAAAUUUGCUUUGUGCUUUGGCGUUAUCACAACCUGCAAAUGAAGUGAUGAAUGUUUACAAACAGUUAGUUCCUGCGUAUUUCAUUCCAAGAGAAUGGAUCUACGUUGAACUGUUACGUUGUCUUGAGAAGAGCAAGCAGCCUCGCGUGGCAAUAGAUUUAUAUAACGACAUGAAGCAACAUCGCGUCAGCAUGACAUUUAACACUUGUAGAAGUUUUAUGUCUUGUUUUAGUGUGAAACUUGGCAAAGAACAGUUACCUGAAUACGUUAGGAUAAUGGAGGAAAUAAUUCAAUGGGCCGCAUUUUUUGAUAUUGAGACGGAUGAUUUUAUGAAGAGUCAAAUGAUUCGUAUCUACUGUUUGAAUGGACAAUAUGAACGAGCUUGGGAAUGCAUGGAGAAAUUUUCUCAAAACAAGUUCGAGCCGUCGUUCGUUGCUUUGUCUUCGCUUCUGCAUGGUACGAUUGUGAGGAAUAAUAAAGCCGAUGCAAUGAAAAUUUUAAAAAUGAUCGCAGAGAAAGGAUUUGUUUUAAAUGUGAAAUCGAGGAACACCUACUACAGACAUUUGGAGUUUACAGCAAAUGAAAGCUAUGAAAUUGAUCAACUUUUUGUACACCGUCCUAAUCGUGUUUCGUCGCAACGGAAAUAAUAUUCUAUUGGAUCAAGAUGGCGUCAGUUAUCAAGUCGAGGCAAAAGAGAAACAAGGUUUUUGACGUGUCUACCAAGAAUUUUGAAAGUAGAAGCCUGUGAGCUUAAAAAACGAGAGGGCGCACCCGACUUUUAAGAAAAUUUCACCCUGAGAAGUGUUAAGCUUAAAGAGAACGAAAUUUCGUCUAAAAACAAACUUUUCCUGAAAGUGUGACAAAAGAGAAAUUGAUAAAGUCCACUCAAAACGAAAGGAAUAAAAUAAGGGAGAAAAACUUGCUAAAAAACAGCAUGAUGUCCUCAUCGAAAACUCCGCAUAAAAAACAAAGUGUUGAAAGCAAAAUUUGGAUCAGGAAAGGAAUGAAAAUAAUUUUUCUGAAGUUGCAGAGGAGCAUGCAUCCAACAUGAACCGUGGAAGAUAAAAGAGAAAGAGUUAAUUUUUUCAGACGGAAAUAUGAAGAGAAAUACCAAGAGUGAUGUAAAAUUCGUUCCUCUACACCAUGAACCAUCAAAGGAAAGUAAAAUGAUUGGGCAGAACUUUUUUGUUGAAAAAUAUGCUCCAAUGAAAGGGAGCGACCAUUUAUACUCUAAGGUAAGAAAGUCGGACAGACAUGGUGAAAUGAAAAGGAAUAUUAAAAAUAACAGAAAAGAGCAACAAUCAGGCGAUAAGAACGAUUUAGAAGAAGUUAUCACCUUUAGCUCUGCCUACACGAGUGAAGACGUACCUAAGGAUAUUUCAAAUGGAAUUUUACCUGACUUUCCUGUAUCUCCUGAAGGACAUGUUGAGGUAGAGAUAACGGACGUUACGGAUGUUGAAGAUAGUGAAAUUAACUCUGAUGAAAUCUUGACUAUUGAACCUCAAGUGAUUGUGGAAACAGAGCAAACUUUGGAAUGUUGCGUUGAAAAGCCAGAUAGUUUAAAAAGUAAGGAUGUGUUUGUGAAUACAUUUGGUGAUUCAUCUAAGUCAGAGAACGCUAGAGACACUGGGACAUUAGGUAAUGAUGGAAAUGUUGAAAUUGUCACAACUACUGAAAUUAUUGCGAAUGGCAUCGACGCGAUAGUAUGUUGAAAGUUGCCGAAGUUAAUCGUGACGGCGUUUAUGUAAGCAGAAGAAAUGAAAACUCUUUAUUAGACGAUCUUUCCAUAAACGAAGCGAGCUCUGUUAGGAGCGUUGGAAAAUUGGUCGAAAUAAAUCUGAAUGAAACUGAGGAUGAAAAGAUGGCGAAGCAAUAAAGAAGUCGAUGGAGGAGACUAAGUCGAAACAAAAAAAAGGCCGAUUGAGUAGACGUUUUUUCUCUUAAACGUUGUUGAUGCUGCAAUGAUAAAGCUUAUCACAAUAUGUAUUAUAAUGGCAUAUGUAUUUGUAUAUAUAAUGGCAUACAUAUGUCCUAUACGUAUCCAGACUUUAUGUUUGUGUCUUAGUGUACUUUGAGAAAAAAUAUAAUGCUAGUUGUACAUGGUAUAUAGAUAAUGAAUAUGAACAUAACAUUUCAAGAAAAUAAAGACACGAUCUUAAGAAUA